CCUACGGGUGGCUGCAGUGGGGAAUAUUGCUCAAUGGGGGGAACCCUGAUGCAGCGACGCCGCGUGAGUGAUGAAGUAUUUCUGUAUGUAAAGCUCUGUCAGCAUGGAAGAAGAAAGACGGUACCUUACCAAGAAGCACCGGCUAACUACGUGCCAGCAGCCGCGGUAAUACGUAGGGGGCAAGCGUUAUCCGGAUUUACUGGGUGGAAAGGGAGCGUAGACGGCAGGGCAAGUCUGGAGUGAAAUGCAGGGGCCAAACCGCUGGACUGCUGUGGAAACUGUCCGGCUGGAGUGCAGGAGAGGUAAGUGGAAUUCCUAGUGUAGCGGUGAAAUGCGUAGAUAUUAGGAGGAACACCAGUUGCGAAGGCGGCUUACUGGACUGUAACUGACGUUGAGGCUCGAAAGCGUGGGGAGCAAACAGGAUUAGAUACCCCAGUAGUC
rnacentral:rRNA from 1 species